rnacentral:misc_RNA from 1 species
GAUGAAGAACGUAGCGAAAUGCGAUAAGUAAUGUGAAUUGCAGAAUUCAGUGAAUCAUCGAAUCUUUGAACGCACAUUGCGCCCAUUAGUAUUCUGGCGGGCAUGCCUGUUCGAGCGUCAUUUCAACCCUCAAGCUCUGCUUGGUGUUGGGAAUCGGCGUAGCGGCCUUCGGGCAGCUGCCGUUCCCUAAAUCUAGUGGCGGUCCCGCUGUAGCCUCCUCUGCGUAGUAGUUUUCUCCUCGCACCGGCAGCUUAGUGGUGACCUCGCCGUAAAACCCCCAACUUCUGAAAGGUUGACCUCGAAUCAGGUAGGAAUACCCGCUGAACUUAAGCAUAUCAAUAAGCGGAGGA